rnacentral:rRNA from 1 species
UACGUAGGGUGCGAGCGUUAAUCGGAAUUACCGGGCGUAAAGCGUGCGCAGGCGGCUUUGCAAGACAGAUGUGAAAUCCCCGGGCUCAACCUGGGAACUGCAUUUGUGACUGCAAGGCUAGAGUACGGCAGAGGGGGAUGGAAUUCCGCGUGUAGCAGUGAAAUGCGUAGAUAUGCGGAGGAACACCAAUGGCGAAGGCAAUCCCCUGGGCCUGUACUGACGCUCAUGCACGAAAGCGUGGGGAGCAAACAGG